GCCAGGUGCUUCCUCCUGGUCUCCCCUGUGGGUGCAGGGCCCAAGCACUUGGACAUCCUCCACUGCCUUCCUGGGCCACAGCAGAGAGCUGGACUGGAAGAGGAGCAACCAGGACAGAAUCUGGCGCCCCAACCGGGACUAGAACCCUGGGUGCCGGCGCUACAGGCAGAGGAUUAGCCUAGUGAGCCGCGGCGCUGGCCAACCCUGUUCUCUUGAGAACAAUCUUCCAAGGACAAGUCCCCCGUAAUCUAAAGCCCUUACAUUAAGCCUGGCUCCUAGACAUCGUAAAGGUCAUCUUUCACCGUUAGUCAAUUAACAAUUAACAUAAAACUGUGGAGAUUUAGCCCCUAAUACAUGCGCCUCCAGUGGACAUCCAAACUAUUAUCUAAAUCAUAACAAAUACAUUAUAGUAAAUAUGGUUGGGGUAUCUUAUGUUAGUGCUUAUAAAACAUAAACAGUGUUCCAAAAAUAAAUCCAUCUAACCUCUUACAACCAAUGUUUUUGAAGUGUUUGAUGAUUCUUAAUGCUUAUUCAGUUAUGUAUGCUACCUUAAUUGGCUUUUAAAAAUAUAUAUAUAUUUAUUUAUUUGAGAGGCAGAGUCACAAAGAGAGGAGAGACACAGAGAGGUCUUCUAUCCACUGUUCACUAUCCAGAUGGCUGCAACAGCCAUGUCUGUGCCAGGCUGAAGGAAGGAGCCUUGAACUCCAUUCAGGUCUCCCAUGUGCAUUGCAGGGGCCCAGGCACUUGGGCCAUACAUAUUCUGCUGCUUUCCCAGGCAUAUUUACAGGGAGCUAGAUCAGAAGUGGAGCAGCUGGGACUGGAACUUGUGUUCAUAUGAGAUGCUGACAUCACAGGCAGCAGCUUCACCCACUGCACCACAACACCAGCCCCCUAAAUUGACUUUUAAUGGUUGAGAUAGAAUAGUAACAAAUACCUAUAUUUAUUAAAGACCUUUAUAUUUUUAAAAGUUUUUUUUUAAAGAUUUAUUUAUUUGAAAGGCAGAAUUACAGAGAGGCAGAGGCAGAGAGAGAGAGAGAAGGGGUCUUCCAUCUGCUGGUUCACUCCCCAGAUGAUGACAAUGACCGGAGCUGUGCUGAUCCGAAGCCAGGAGCCAGGUGCUUCCUCCUGGUCUCCCAUGCGGGUGCAGGGCCCAAGGACCUGGGCCAUCCUCCUCUGCUUUCCCAGGCCAUAGCAGAGAGCUGGACUGGAAGAGGAGCAACCGGGACAGAAUCCAGCGCCCCAACUGGGACUAGAACCUGGGGUGCCGGUGCCGCAGGCGGAGGAUUAGCCUAGUGAGCCGCAGCGCCGGCCAAAAACUUGGAAUCUAACAACAGUGCCAUUCAAAUACAAGAUAAGCAGUGUCCAGGGAUAUAGUCAAGUGAGACUUAAAGGCAAACCUUCCCAAGACUUGUCUUUGCAUUUUUUGGCCAUUUUGAUAUGGUGUAACUAGGCAAUUAAAGUUUACAUGAUCUGAAACUCUUGUACUCCUGCUGUGUAACCCUAUCUCUUUAAUUGUCAGCUUCAUACGCCAUCUUCCCAGAAUGCACCUGUGGCAUAUGGGAUCAGGACGCAUGCUCAGACCCAACCCUGUGUGUGAGAUUCAGAGACCUUCCGCUUCCCCAUAAGAGGAGGAGGAAGCCAGAGAAGAGGUUUUUUCCCACCUAGAGAGGCACUCAGGUAUACCGCUCUCAUUUUCUCUCCACGGAUCAGUCUGGGUUGCACGGACCUCUCCAGCUCUUGCCUAGAGGGUGAUCAGAAGACAGACGAGCAGAGAAUGACCUUAAAGAAGAUAACCUCAUCCUCUCCGAACUUCCAAAUAUGAUUUUGUGAAAGCACAGGUGCUGAGUAGACAAAAAGGGUGGACUUACAGCCAUGCUUGGGAUUUUGUUUGUGAAGAGACUGAAAUCAUCAGGAAAGUGUUUCUUUGAAUGACCGCACACUUCACUGUCACACACACAGAGUCAGCUGUGAGUGUGUGUAGAAUUCUGCACUCAAAGAUGAUCCGUGGAAGACGGCAGGCAAGUGCCAGACAGGAAGCACACAGAAGCAGUCACAGUGCCCGUAAGGCUAUACACAGACUCCGUAAGUUCAUACGACUGCAUGCUUAGUACCUAUUAGCUGUUCCCAAAGACACUUUCUCAGAGUUGCUCAUUAAACGUUGUAUCUAACUAUCAUUAGAACUGUGGAUUUUUUUUUCACUGUCAUGUGUCCAUAAGGAAGUCUAUUUGCCUUUUUUUUUUUUUUAAGAUUUAUUUUAGAGAGGAUGGAGUGAACCAGCUGAUGGAAGAUUUCU